rnacentral:rRNA from 1 species
GGGAGGGGGGGCUAGCGUUGUUCGGAAUUACUGGGCGUAAAGCGCGCGUAGGCGGGGCUGGUCAGUUGGGGGGGGUGAAAUCCCGGGGGCUUAACCUCGGAACUGCCCUCAAUACUACCAGUCUAGAGAUCGAGAGAGGUAAGUGGAAUUCCUAGUGUAGAGGUGAAAUUCGUAGAUAUUAGGAAGAACACCAGUGGCGAAGGCGGCUUACUGGCUCGAUACUGACGCUGAGGCGCGAAAGCGUGGGGAGCAAACAGGAUUAGAUACCCUGGUAGUCCACGCCGUAAACGAUGGGUGCUAGUUGUCGGGCGGCAUGCCGUUCGGUGACGCAGCAAACGCGUUAAGCACCCCGCCUGGGGACUACGGUCGCAAGACUA